rnacentral:tRNA from 1 species
GAGGGUAUAGCUCAGUGGUAGAGUGUGUACUUAGCAUGCUCGAGGUCUUGGGUUCAAUUCCCAGUACCUCCA